AUGGGAGCCUCUCUGGAUGGCUGCUAUUUACACCCCAGUAUAAGGAGACUGGGAAAGUCAGUUUUCAUUCCAAUCCCAAAGAAAGGCAAUGCCAAAGAAUGCUCUAACUACCGCACAAUUGCACUCAUCUCACAUGCUAGUAAAGUAAUGCUCAAAAUUCUCCAAGCCAGGCUUCAGCAAUACGUGAACCAUGAACUUCCUGAUGUUCAAGCUGGUUUUAGAAAAGGCAGAGGAACCAGAGAUCAAAUUGCCAACAUCCGCUGGAUCAUCAAAAAAGCAAGAGAGUUCCAGAAAAACAUCUAUUUCUGCUUUAUUGACUAUGCCAACGCCUUUGACUGUGUGGAUCGCAAUAAACUGUGGAAACUUCUGAAAGAGAUGGGAAUACCAGACUACCUGACCUGCCUCUUGAGAAAUCUAUAUGCAGGUCAGGAAGCAACAGUUAGAACUGGACAUGGAACAACAGACUGGUUCCAAAUAGGAAAAGGAGUACAUCAAGGCUGCAUAUUGUCAUCCUGCUUAUUUAACUUCUAUGCAGAGUGCAUCAUGAGAAACGCUGGACUGGAAGAAGCACAAGCUGGAAUCAAGACCGCCGGGAGAAAUCUCAAUAACCUCAUAUAUGCAGAUGACACCACCCUGAUGGCAGAAAGUGAAGAGGAACUAAAAAGUCUCUUGAUGAAAGUGAAAGAGGAGAGUGAAAAAGUUGGCUUAAAGCUCAACAUUCAGAAAACGAAGAUCAUGGCAUCCGGUCCCAUCGCUUCAUGGGAAAUAGAUGGGGAAACAGUGGAAAGAGUGUCAGACUUUAUUUUGGGGGGCUCCAAAAUCACUGCAGAUGGUGACUGCAGCCAUGAAAUUAAAAGGCGCUCACUCCCUGGAGGAAAAGUUAUGACUAACCUAUAUAGCAUAUUCAAAAGCAGAGACAUUACUUUGCUGACUAAAGUCUGUCUAGUCAAGGCUAUGGUUUUUCCAGUGGUCAUGUAUGGAUGUGAGAGUUGGACUGUGAAGAAGGCUGAGUGCCAAAGAAUUGAUCGUUUGAACUGUGGUGUUGGGGAAGACUCUUGA
rnacentral:lncRNA from 1 species